GAAUCAAUACCUGCCGUCCAAUUAACUGAAAAACCGCCAGCAAUGGCUCUUCUCAGAACUUCCACGGAAGCUGUAGGACUGGCUAAUGCCACAGCACUCGUUUGAUUGACCCUAGCUAUUAUUUCUUCCUGGCAUGUUACCAGACUAAGGUUGAAGGGAACGUUGAUCAGAGUGUAUAUACCAAAUAUGCUGCUAUUGCAAUUGAACCUAUUUGGAGACGAAGGUGGUAACUGCAAACCAGGGCGGACGGUGCAGCCGAAAUACAGAGUAAUAUUCAGGUCACUCGAAACAUAGCUGAAAGUGUUUAAAUCAAAGGAGGCAUUCUCGGGAUUAUCCAAACAAAUACUACUCAGUAAAUCAUCCCGAGCCAGGGUUACAAUUCGAUUAGGGGUGUUGAUAUCUAUCACUUCGUAUCUUGUUGAUUCAAUUGCAAUUUUGGGUAUGCUACUUUCGCACUUGAUCUCAAAACUAGGAUGACCACAAUACUCUGGUUUUCUCCCUCCCCAAAAAGGGUAAAUUAUAUUCAUGCUGCCGCACUGAAACGGCUCACCACAACUCCUGUAUCGCUCGUCAUCUUGACCGAGGGAUAUGGGCAUAUGGAGAAAGCAUAGAAUGAUAAACAGAAUGACAGUUGAGUGGAGAUCUGAGAGCAUCUUUUUGGAGCAAAUUCAGUCCAAUCUUUCUUUUUAAAUUUGCCUUUUAAAACUGCUUAUCCAAUUCUUACCUCGUCAAAGAAAGAAAAAUAGGCUAUGCUAUGCAUUCCGACUUGACAGAGAUAUUGUCGAUUUUUCAUAUCAAGUUGUAACAAUCAAAGUCAAGCAUUGACUCGUUUACUUUUCUAAAUUGGGAGUAAAACCAUUUGAACGUUACUUUUACAACAACAUAUCCAAGGGAGUGUUUCCGAGAGACCCGACUUAAAUAACCGGAAAAGAAAAUUCAAAAGAAAAAAGUGCCUUGCAAAUAAUAGGAGAAACAUUAGAUAAUAAAAUUCUCAUUCACUUUUUGUGUACAUGAACCACUUUGACGUACAUUGGGUAGAACGCAAGUGCAUUGAUUGGUGAACUCGAUGCGUUUUUGGCUAUGAUAGGACUCAAAUUUCUUGCGAUUAACAUAUAUAUAUCACACACUCUUUAUCACUGGACCAAAUCCCCAAGACUGAGUGAAGAUUUAUUAGAUAAAGUGAAAACUGUUGCAUUCGAACAACCAAAACCAUAAAAAAGAUUGCUAAAGAAAUAUUCUCUUGACAUUAAAAUUACGCAGUACCAAAAACUAAAGAGGUCCAAAAUUGUCAUUUUCUCUCUAGCUUAUUAGUCAAUAUGACUCAUUCAAAAAAUCAAGAUCACCAAAAGAAAAAAAAGCGUAGGUUGAUUUAUCUGUAACUUGUACCAAAAGUUUCCAACACGCGGUGAACCAUCACCAUCUCCACCUCUCUCCUUGUAUGAUUGUCAUUCAUUAGACUAUUGGCAAUAAUGAUAUGUGGAACAAAAUCAACUACUUUCACACGCUUUAUUCUGCUUCAACUAUAUAAGUAAACUUCAUAUAAUUUCCACGAAAAGAAAAGGAAGCAAAAUAGAACUACCAGGAAAGCUGGGAGCUAAAAUACUUAUAGUUGGUAACUUAAUCAAUUACCAACUCUUAGAAGGAGGUACAGGAACACAAGUUAAAUACCUUGAGCAAUGCUCACCAGUAUUUUACUUAAGUUGAUGACAUGGAAGAGUCCUGAGAGAUGACGGAAAUGUGACACUAAUGGGGUAGUUAAAUACCUUGAGCAAUUUCCGACCUCAAUAUCAUACAGCUAAAGACGAAAAGAAAGAAAAAUUAGGCACUGCUAAUCUUGGGACUACUCCAACAACAGUAACUAAAAAGACAGCUAUUACUGAGAGAAAUGAAAAAGAGAUUUUGUUACGAAAAUAUGGAACGAAUUUCCUUAGCAAACAGUUACACACAGGGGAUGAUACUCCAAGAGCUUCUGCCACUAAAGUUGCACAUCUUGCAUAAUAUACAAGUAUGGAAGCUCAUAUGAGUAUAAAACUACAAGCUUUUCAUGUCAAAAUGUUACAUUUGAUUAUACAGGGGAAAAAGGGAUGCACUACUUACUUUAUUUCUCCGUCACCACUUUAUAUAUUGAUGGCACAGAUAACUCAACCAUUUACACCUACAAUUACACUCACAGGAACUGCAGUUAGAGCUCAUCCCUUGUUUGCAUAAACAGGCACAUGUUAACUUCUUAGGCGGGUUACUGGUGAUUAAUUAAAGGUGGUUUCCUUCUGUAUUUUAGAAAUCACCACACUAAGCCCUUUCUUCUCCUAAACCUGUCAACACGAUCUGUGCUCAUCCGCGACUUCUCAGGUUUGUUUGACUUCUUAGUCUUUUCAAGUCGACUAUCCAAGCUGUUCCUUGAAAUUUCAGGAAGAUCAGGUUUCAGGUCAAAUGUGUCGGUGGCACCACUUUCGGCAGGUUUACUCUGAUUUUCAGACUCUGUUGAUGCUUUCUGGGGGCCAUUAGCAGCAGGCUUCGGUUUGCCAAGACCAAGAACAAAUUUCUUUAGAUGUUUGAUAUACUCUGGGUAAAGUUCAAGGUUGCAGUGUCCACCUCCAUUUAACCAUAAAGGUUCAUAUUUUUCUUUACAUAGCUCCCACAGCUGUUUCCCGUGGGAGUAGUCAACAACUUCAUCCGCUGUUCCCUAUACAUGUGUUAAAAUCCUUUGAGUAAAAUGUUCAAAAACAGAACCUUUGGAAGGUACAAGGCCGAAAGGGUCUAAAGUAAUUUAUUAACCGGUAAAGAAUUAGGAUCGUUGGGAGGUACAAACACGUAAAGGGUCUACAGUUAUUAUAUUAACCAGUAACAGAACAGUUGCCCCACCAUCUUUCCCGGACCCAUCUCCACUGCGAAGUAUUUGUAAAUAGAUUGAAUUUGAAAGAGAUUGGAAAUUAUGGAAUAGAAGGAUUAAACAUUGGAAAAGAAGGGAAACUUACAUGAAUGACCAGAACCGGACAAUUCACUGCACUAAUCUUGUCAAUGUUCUGAAAUAAAUUGGAGAAAUGAAAUCAGAUUUUAUAAGUGGAGAUGGAAAAAGAAUUACGUACUGAUAACCACUGAGAGUGUUUUACCUUGUAUAUGUCAAACCAAUAUGUCCGCUUGACAGGGUACAAAACUCUUACACCAGACAAUAUUGGACUAUGUAAAACAACACCUCGUAAAUUGGGUACUCGUGAUGCAAGAUCAACAGUUGGGCCACUGCCAACAGAUUGACCAUAGAGUAUUAGCUGUUCAUCUUUGACCCCAUAUUGCUCCUUUAGGCAUUUAUAUACUGCAUCAAUGUCCGCGUACGUAUUACAUUCAGAUGGCUGCUUCAGAGAAAGGAUGAUUUCAUUAUAAUUUAAACAGCAAACAGCAACAAGGGAAUAGACCCAUAUGAAACUCAAAUGAUUUCCUAGAACAAGCAAUGAAUGAAAAAUGCAAGAUUACGAACUGAAACUUUCUUAUAUACCUGUGCCAGGUCUCACACAAAUUUGUUAACAACAUUAAGCAGAAAACUAUAUAAAGAAAGAAAAACAUGUUUUAAUGCCCAAAGCAACAACAUUCUAAUUAAAGUUUCACCAAGCGAGGCACAAAACGUGUUGAGGCGCUUUGCCUCGCUUAAUAUGCACUUCAGUAUCUUCAUCAAGGUUCUAAGACAUACUCUUCUUGGUCAAUAAGCCUCUUGUGAAGAGGCAACACUUAACAAUCGAUACUUUACUUUACGUGAAUUGUCUUUAAUUUUUUUGUUCAUAUAUCUGCCUUUCAUGCUUAUAAUUAUUAGUCUUGAACUAAUCAUAUAUAUUUGAAUUUUUUUCUCACUUCGCGACCUUUUUCAUUAUCUCACGCUUUAUUUGCACUUUGAGAGUUUUUUUGUGCUUUUUGCUUUAAAUAACACGGAGUUCCACAUGCCCAAAUAACAUAGCAUGAUUGCCAGCAUCUAGAAACUAAAGAAAUGAGGUAAUAAACAAAGAAUUAUUCAGGUUUGGAAGCCAUGAAUAAGAUUUAAGAAUGUACAAAACCCCCGAUCCAAUUACAGAUUUAAACUUUUCCUUUUUAAAAAAAAAUUCUAAGAAAGCCAACCCAAAUUGGUGAAAUGUUAAUGCUCUAGCUCUUUCAGCAUCAUCAGAACUUCGAUAAGGCAUAUGUUUUUCACCUUAUCGUAUGGUAUAGAUGGUAAGCAAUAUUAAUAUUCCCUUAAAAGAUGCUUGAGGGACAACAAAAUGCAUACUGAAAGGUCUCCCCAAAUCUGGUAAGAAAAUCAAGAUAUGUGAUGCGUGUUGCAACAUAUCACAUACAAAACGUGAUAGAGGCAGAAGCAGAAAAAAAAGAACAAUAUUUCUUUCAUAUAUGGAUUUCAUGAAGGGAAUUAGACUUAAAUAAAAUUCCAGUCACGGUUUGUCGUGGGAGUUCACUAAAUGAAGAAGUGGAUGAUCCAUCAUUGGUCAUUGUACAAACAGGGCAAGCAAGCUCUUCCUUGAGAAUUUCAAAAUGAACGUUAAAGCUUUUAAGAGUUCAUUGACAAACAGCUCCUGUUCUUAGACAGGUUACUGGUUAGGGUUAUAGGGAGUUUAUGACUAAACACAAGCCCAUUGCCAAUACUACACCUUGGGCAUUCCUUCCUAGGAACAAAAAAACUUACCAUUAUAAGACAACAAAAAUUAGCAGUUAAGUCCAAAAAGUGCAUUGCAGGGUUCAAAUAAUUUCACAGACCCAACUACGUGAACUAGUUUGGUUAGCUAGUGCUUCAAGUUGUGGUUCUAAUGAGAAAGGAGAAACUAAGCUAAAGGUUAGGUAACAUAUGUGGUGGUACUGAAAGAGCUUUGAUGUGUUCUAUAAUAUCUGCCGAGUAAUCAAUGCUACCUUAAAAUAAUCAAUGUUAGUGUGUUCUUGCAAAUAAUGCUUUCAAAUUAUAGGACAUAUUCCUCCCCCAAACGCAAAAACAAAAAGAAGGUACAGAGGAUAAAGGCGGACGUGGACACACAGGUUGGGGGGCAACGUAACUAAGAGAGCCAUUCCAUUUAGGGCAAGACAAAAUGGCAGGUUGGGGCAGUCUCGUGUCUGAGCCAAUUGGUCAGACGACGACUACUUCACGUAUUGGUUUAGUAUUAGCUGCCUAGUCCUUGUAUAUUUGCAAGUGAGCAAAAAAGAAUACCAUUGUCUUUAUGUUUAUUCGCGCAUCACAAAAUGGCCCAAGUGAUAUCCAUAUUAGAUUGACUUUUUGAUGUUGUAAAAUAGAUGAAAAACCAUCUGUAAUAAUAGAGUACAAGUAACCUCCAAACUUAUUGGAAAUGAUUCUUUUGCAUUAUUAGCAUCGGUUAGAGACUGAUUUCCCUUGGCAUUAUAUAUCAUUGUCCAAAUUCAGAGUGACAAAUUACUGGAGCGACUACAGAGGAUAAGAUAUCUGUUCUCUGACAUCAAAUUUUGCUUCAGAGAAUCUUAGGAGUUAAGAGUUUAAGACCUUGUAGUAACAUGGGUGACAAGUGGCGUUAAAUGAUUAAUACGAGGCCUGAAGGAGAGGUGAUAUAACAUUGACAUCAUCCAUGGUCUUUAUAACUAAACUUCCAUGUAAGAAAUCUAGAGAAAAUGUUUUUUUUUUCUUUCAAUAAAUAAGAAAUCUACUGAAAGUGAGCAAACGAAGAUUUUAAGAAAGAAAUUCGUCAAUCUUUACAUAAAGGUUGCAUAAGAAUUUCGUAAAUAUGAUAUGCCCACAUAUAAAUGAAAACAAAUAUAACAAUUAUAUAGCUCAGGGAUGAGGACAUGAGGUUGACACCUGGCUUCUACCAUAUCUUAGCAGCAUUUACUUUUAAUCUUCUGAAAUUUUAAUGAAGUCCAAAAAGGUAAAAAUUAAAGUUCUACCAUCACAUUCCUCCAUUAACAAGUAUCAUUGCAAGUUAGAGCUGGUUGAUAAAGCCAGUUUUCAAAACAGAUGUCAAUUUUCUUCCUACUAAUAAUGUUAUUAUACAAGUAACAAACUGAAACAGGUGAAGGCAGUAAGGUUUUUCUCUUUGUCCCUGUUUUCUUUAUGAACAUGGGGAACAAAAAGCUGCCAAGUACAUAUGACCAAGGAAGCAGGUAUCUAACCUUUCCACUUGAUUGUCCAUAUCCAGAGUAAUCAUACCUAAACAAGAAACCAUAUGAGCAACGUCAGGAGGGUCUGAGAAAUCAAACGGCAAUCCUACUGUUUAGUUUGACAUUAAAAAAGUUCUAGAAUUGAAGCAAAUGAAUGCUCUAUUUACGAAACUAGAGAGAGACAGAGAGACCAGGGGGUUCAACCAUAAUAUUUACUUAAUCGGGGGUCUUCCAGAUGCAACUCGCAAUAGGUCAAAUUGCACAGAAGAUAGGAAAUGAUCACGAGUUACUAAAAUCUAGUAUAGAGUAAAGUAGUAAAGCGAAACAAGCUGCUUGCUUGAAUUGGACUCCUGGACCUCAAGCUUGGCUUGCUUCUAACAUCUACUUGAUUAUCAAAUUAUUAUCCACUAGUAAUCAUGUAUCAACCAUAGCACCAAUGCUAGGGAAAUACAGCACAAAAAUAACAAUUUCAUGCCAUCCGCACGUUAUAGGAGAGUCAAUAUAAAUAGCCUAAUGUUAGUUGCAUUUCAGAAAAUUAGUUUGACAGUGUGUCACGCACUACAGUUUAAAACAAACAACCUCAAAUUUUCUCCAAUUUCGUAAAAUCUCAAAAAGAAUUCUUAAAGCUACGACGGUCACAACAUAAAGCUAGGAAAGUCACGACACGAAGUAAAAACAUCAUGUCAUUAUCAUCUUACAGGGAGAAUCAAAAUAUACAGCAUAAAGUAAGUCAUGUUUUGGAAACACAUUUGACUGUGUCAUGCGCGAUAAAUUAAAACAAACAACUUCUUCAAACUUUCUCGAAUUUUGUUAAAUCUCAACAAAAUUCUCAAUUUGGAAUAUGUUCUACUAAAGAUGUAUUAUUUCUACUCAACUAAAUAUCUUGACCCAAAAAAUGUUAAGUAUUUUACUUCCAAGUUCCAACCAUUUCUCUUAUUCAAGGAAAAGUGAUCCAAAUAUGGAAGUUACAACUUCUCAAUUACUGCAUAAGCUGUCUUUGAUAUUGCUAGAUUCAAGAAAAUAAGAACAAAAUAAAAACUUAAAACAGAAAUAAGGUUUCAGAGAAAAAAGAAAAAGAUAAGCUUUAGCUCAGAAUGAGAUAACAGAAACUAAAUUGAGAAAUUAGGAAAUAAAAUUGAGCUAAUUAGAAGGGAAGCUUAAUUAAAUUACCCCAUGAGAUUAACACGAAGACGGAGGCUCAAUUCAACAAAGAGCUCAAACAUCUGACCCAAAUCAGCAGCAUUACCAUGAGAAUACAGCAUAGUAGCAGAUGCCUUUGGAUGCUUCACAUGAACGGCCACGAUUUCAUUUCCACGGCGAGUACGAAGUUUCAAAAAGUCUACUCCAUCUCUCCUAGCUACCUCAGGUAUGCUAAACUUGCCGUCGUCGGGGACCACCGUAUACGACGGCGGAGUCGGUGGGAAGAAGGCGAACUUAGCAGCGAUGGAAGAAGUCACUCCUCCCAUUAUCUACAGUAACUUAAUGCUACUGCACCAAUCAUAAAGCAGCCCCCUUUUCCCCUAUCUUCUUCUUCAGGGCGGCGCGUGGAGGUCAAGGGAGGCGCGUAGCGGUUUGAAAAAAAAAAAGGAAUAUGCUAUGACUAAGAAAAGGUUGUUGGAGGAAGAGGGGAUAUAUUGUAUAACGUUGGAGUUUUCGGAUUUUAUGCAACACUUUAUGACUCAUAAGUAUGAUUGUAACUUGUAAGAAUUUGUUCAAUUUUAUUUGUCAAGUUUGUUUAGUCGAAAAUUAAGUUAUAUGAAUUUUAAUAAAAAAAUUAGUCAAAUUGAUUUCUAUAAAGCGAAAUUCGACAAAUAAAAGUGAUGAAUACAAUUAAGAAAAGCUUAAAUGAAUUAAUUCAAACAAAAAUAUCAACAAUAUUUAUAAUAAUUGUUUAAUUAUUAACGUUAGAUUAGAAUUUUCUAACCACGAUGUUAAGAUAACUUUAAUUACCAAACCACGGAAGAAGGUAAUGGAGCUUUUUGACUAUUUAACCAUUGUAGAAAUGCACCUUAAUGGACUUUAAUUAGCAUACUUAAUUUUGGUUACAAAUAUAUCUAGAAGAAAAGAAAAUGUUAGUUCAAGAAAGCAUAAAAUAUUAUUAAAAAAUGGUCUACCAAGUACCAACCAACCAACCAUGAAAACAAGAAUAUCAUAGUCUCCCAAAUACUAUAUAUUCCUCACGUUUUGUGCAUAUCAUAGACAUGUUCGAGGAAGAAAUAGAAAAGUUGAUAAUUCUUAGGAGAAAGGUUCUUCUUUUUAUAUAUAUUUAAAAUGCUAAAAUUCAAGGAGAAUAUCUAUUGAAGUGAAGGUAAUUAUUCUUGACUGAUUAAUAUUAAUUCUUCCAUUUUAAUUUAUCAGAUAUUUUAUCUUUAGAUAAACUAAAAAAAAAAGUGUCACGUAAAACAGAUGGAUUAUGAUAUUGGUGCAGCAAGUUGGAAGAUGGAACCAAAGAGAAAAGGUUAAUAGGACAAAGUCUUUUCCUCUUUCUUGUUUUUAAAAAUUGUGUACUUGCCCAAGGAAUGAUAAACGCCUAUAACGUAUCUAUGGAAAACAUUAUUAAUUGGAGAGCAUCAAUUAUCAAAGAUUGUCCUUUUAGGUCAAACCAAUUGAAUGAGAGAAGAGAGAGAGAGACAGAGUUAAUGGAACACGUCAAAAUAAUCCCAUCUGUACCAUUUUCACAUUUCCAUUUCUUCUUCUUUUUCACAAUCGUAAUGUCUACAUCAACUUAUAGGAAAAUAUAAAAUUUAAAAUUAAUGAGAUUUUAUAGCUAUAAGUUUAAUAUAUUGAAAUAAUCAAGUUUAUAAUUAAAUAUAUUUAUAAUAAUUUAAAAUCUUUUUUUUUAAUACAUAUAUAGAAUUCAUAUGCAAAAGUUAUUAAAUUUACGUGAAUCACACAUGAUUCACUCCGAUGGAAGAGGUGGUGAAGUAUUUUCCUUAUUACACAAUACGACGAAAAUCUAAAGGAAAAGAAACCUAAGCUAUACUUCCUUUUAUUACGUAAAGAAAUAGUGUCCCAUAUGAUUGAAACUGCAAAACACAAUACAAAAAGUUAAAAAGAGAAAUGUCAAUCUUCUACGCAAAGAAAUGCUAUAAAGCGCAACUUAUAUUUAGCCAUCACCAGCUACAAUAUUUAACUAAAAGUAUUUUUUUAGAGUUGUAUUGAAUAAUGAUUAAUGAACGUGAUGAAGAGAGUGAUGCAUAAUGGAAUUAUAACCAUUUCUUUAUUCUGUAAAAGAAUAUAAAUCGUCAAGAAUAUCUGACAAGAUACUACUAUUAUAUAAACUUUGUAGGGCUUAAAGUAAUACCCACAUGAGAAUUAUGAAUGUGUCUUAAUUUUGAUGUUCAGUUCAAAAUAAUUUAGGAGGGUUUAUAAAAACAUGGAAAAUACUGGGUACAUCAGACCAGUCAUAGCAAUUACAAAUUAACAUAUAAAAGUCUAUUAUCACUUAACCCUGGUGAAAGGGUAAAUAUAUACAUGAAAAACACAUAUCUUAUAUAUAUUGAGGAGGGGUCGAGGUAGACAGAGGAAGAAUUAGAGAGACAAGAACUCUAGAUAGGAGAGUAUGGACAUCGAGGAGAAGACAUGUUUUGUUGUUUGUAUAGACUAUAGACAUUUGGUGUAGAUACAAGAGAUUAUAGAAUGAGAUAUAAGAAGACAGAAAAGAAAGGAAAAGGGGAAGACAAUUGAGGAAGUAAUGGACCACCACAAUCACCCCAUUGUAUAUAUUUGCACAGCACAAUAAUAAUGCGCAGAGCAAUCAGUCGCCUUCCAUACCUAAAGCCAUAGCGGUGGCACGUCGACAUGUCACGAUGAACAAUUACUAUUUUACAUGACUCUUGUUUCCGCAUUCUGCCAAAAUACCUCCGCCAUGGACCUUUUCUGCCUUUUUUUUCCUUACCAUUUUCUCCACCUGAUGUCACUCUUCAUUGAUCAAUCCGUUUCUUUUGCAAUCCACCACUCAUUAAUCUUUUCAACUUUUAACAACAUCCAACCAGGUAGUAUUCUCAUCAACUUAUGCACAUCUCGACUACUACAUUUAUCUCUCACCGGUACACACUAGUAUUGGGACUUGAACCUGUCACCCUUUCAGAUUUCUAAAGCAGAUUUUCCAAGAUCCAAGUUAGGAGAAAAUAUGUCAUAUGCAAGAAAUAAGCUGGAAACAUACUAAAAGGGUUCAUCAUCAGUGUCUAAGCUUCGGGUUAGCAGGACAUACCCUCUCGAGAAAAACGGGAGACAUAUUUGGACUAAACAUGAGCGGAUUCCUUAUCCACUCAGGGCAUCUCAAAGUCCCCAGUGACAAAACAGAACACCAGUUCUGCACGAACCAAAAGGAUGACUUCAGAAUAUAAGUUCCAACAGCAACGCCUGUUUGCAGUGAAGAAAUGAUAUCUGAAAUGUGGAGUGACUAGCCAUGCUUAACUUAGCAAAGAACAGAAGAAAAAUGAAGGCAUCACUGAGCUCAAUUCCAACCGUAAAUGACUCCCUCUAUGCAUCAAACUAGAUAUAAUGUUCAAGUCGUUGUCUCAUAAUCCACAACGCAAACAUAUGGAUACCUCCUAUUUGUCAAUAUGUGUGAACUGAAAAUAAGUAAAGACCAUAAAGCAAGUUACAUAAAAACCUCAAAAAAUUCCCUUCAUAUAGGAAGUUCAGCUGGAUGACUGACUAAAUUUGCACGUAAUCCAGGGCCAGAGACCCAAUAUUCUAUCUUAAGCCCUAUUUAGCACUCUUCAGAAAAGUGUAUCGAACCAAAUCAUCAUUGUAGAUCAACCAGCCUCAACCCUACUUUAAAUUAGAAAUGAAAGAUCAACAAACGGAACAUUAGAAAAUUCAAAAUUCUGAUUCAUCUAAAUGAAAAUUGACAUCAAAUAGCUGGCUAAUAGAGGAAGACUAAGUGAUUCCCUCUAAUUUAGUGAUUUCUAGAAAUUAACAACUAAUGCUCCAUUAAGACUGCUUUAGAUCAACUAAAUGAAAAUUGACAUCAAAUAGCUGGCUAAUAGAAAAGUCUUUUAAGUUUUUGCAAAUGUAGACGUGAAACAAAGGAUGGUCCCUUCGAGGACAUCCAAUAAAAAAAACAAAGGAUGUAAUAACCAGAUAACUUCUUAUAUAUCAUCUAGGUCUCUGCUUUGGAGCACUCCUUCAAGUUUCAAAUGAUUAACCUCUACUAAUUGAGGUUGUUAUUUCACAUUAUCUCUCAACCUCAGAGUAAGACUAACUAAGACCAAUAUCCAGAAGCGUAUAGGAAUGACUUAGUCCCAAUUUUUCGAUUUAUACUAACUUUGUAUUUCAGUUUUCCGCUUAAUUGAGAGAAGAAAAACAAAGCACAACAAGAGAAGCAAAAAAAAGAAGAUGGAUAUACUGCGAAGUAGUAAUUUACUAGGUCAAAAUAAUUUUUUAGCAACAAAACCCUACAAGUUUAUCCCAAAUAAAGCUCAAUUCAUCUGUAAGGCAAAUUUUCUAUGACUAUUGAAACAUGAAUAAGUGCUUUUGCAAAUAUCAAAGAUCUCAGCAGGGAUUAUCACAUAUGUGCAGUUUAGGCAGUAGAAAAUGGAAGUUGCAAGGAAGACAAAGGGGCCCUUAAGAAUAAAAAAGCAGGAUCCAGGACAACAGAACUCAUCCAGAAUGGUAGAAAAUUUCAUACCAUUUUCUCCUGAACAAUGUCUUGGAAGAUGCACAUUCCUGGACAGAUAUUAGUUGCAUCGUCACCUAAAAUAUACCAUCCAAAUGACAGUUACAAAAGAGAUGAGACAUCACGGACUCAAAACAAUACUUAGUAACUAACAGUUGGGACAAACCUGAAUUGUCAGCAUUUCUUCUACAGCAAGCAGGCUGAAGAAUAUUGUCUGAUGGUAUGCCUAUAUGAACUCAUACUAGAUUGUGCAGCUCCAGUUGGAAGUUGUUCCCGGGGAGAUAGAGCAACUGCGCCUUGUAAGCUGAGCAAAUAAAUUUUAUGCUUGAUCCAUCCGCAGCUGGAAGAGAAUCUCCAAAAGCUAUCAUUUGUCUGCUCAAAACUAACAUCAGUACGUCAUUGUGUUUGCCUUUUACAAGAGGAGUGAAUACUUCUACCCACUUAAAACUGGUUAACAUAGGUUGUAUUCUCAGUUGCAUUAUCUCUUAAAUUUCAACUUCCACAAAAUCGUUAUAAUGUAGAACUCUUAGCCAAUAAAUAUGGUUAAAACUUCAGUGGCAAAGUUGAUGACCAUUCUUUAUCAAUAAUGCAGAAGCUUAGCCAUUUGAAUUUUAGACUGGACCUUCCUUGCUUCAUGUGUAAGUCCACAACUACGAAGACCAUCAACAACAAUUCGUUUAUCUGAUUUAAGAAUUCUCAUGCCACCUCUAAUACACGAUAGUAGUAACUUAGAUGCUGCGCGAAACCUCCUAGCUUGGCAAAGACCACGGACUAUGGUAGAGUAAGUAACAGAAUCUUUCGUAUCCAUUGACUCAAAUAUAUGUGUAGCAUAAUCCAAUUGACCAGUUUUACACAACCCAUUGAUAAAAGAAUUCCACGCAACCAAGUUAGAAUCAAAACCCAUCACACUCAUACGGUUCAAUUGUUGCUGGGCCUCUUGGAAAUUACCAGUCCUGCACAAGCCAUCAAUCCAGAUAGCAUGGGUGUACUUGUCAGAUUCCAAGCCUCCAUUUUCUGCCUCAUAUAACAACUUAUAAGCAUUAUCCAGCUGACCUUCCUUACAAUAUAGAUUAAAAAUGGUAUUAAAAGACACAAUGUCAAGGGUAAAGCCACUUGUAAUAAUAUAUCCCAGGUACUCAUUGGCCUCAGUUAUCCUCCCAGUUUUAAGUAACAUACUUGCAACUGUACAGUAAGCAAAGGCAUCAUAUGUAUAUCCUUUGUUUCUCAUCUCUGCAAAGAUUUUAAGGCCUUCUUCAAAUUGUCUAUAUCUGAAGCAACAUUUCAUUACUGUCGUAUAAGUGAUGGCAUUCGGGAUAUGACCUGAUUCUACCAAUUCGUUGAGGAACUCUCUGGCAACGUUUCCUCGUCCUGACUUGCACAACCCAUGAAUAAGAAUGUUGUAAGUUACUAACUGAGGAAUAAAUCCAUGACGCUUUAAACUCCUAAAUAGCAUAAGGGCAUUCUCAGUAUAUCCAUUCAUACACAGUCCAUUAAUUAAAAUAUUAAACGUUGCUGAAUGAACAGAUAUAUCUUUCAAAAGAAUAUCUUGAAAAACCCUGUAAGCUUCGUCUGGCUUCCCGAAUUUAAAGAAACAAUUCAUUAAUGAGUUGUAACUCCAAAUAUCAGGAAGAAUUCUCAUCUCAAGCAUUUCAUCAAACAGGUCGAGACAUUUAGAUAACAGAGAAUAUCUAGUAGCUCCGGCAAUCAAAGCGUUAUAGGUAAUAACAUCAGGGUUAAUUCCAGCGUCUUUCAUCCUAUUAAGGAUGGAAUAACCAGCAUCUAUGCCAACAAAGCGGCAAUAUGCAGCAAUCAAUGUGUUGUAAGUGACAACAUCUGGUUGUAAUCCAAUUCUUACGCCAUCAACUAUAACAAUUUCAGCUUUCUCUAAUUUUUUGGCUUUACAAAGAGAUGCCACACAAACAUUCAUUAACCUUGUUGAUAAUUUAUCCUUGAUUCUCCGCAUCUACUCAAAACAGUUUACACCUGAAAUCUGAACUACUUUUCGAACAAAAGUGACAGAAAAAUACUUCUCAGAUAUCAAAUGCUUAUGAAAUCUCUGUUUGAAUGGAAAUGAUCAAUGCACAUGAACAUAUAAAAAAUACAGAAUCACCGGAUUUGCACACAAGAACAAUGCAUAACUGAAAGAGUAGAUACCUUAAAACAACGAACGAAAGCAAUAGCCUUUGACCGGCUAUCUAGCAAGAGAAUGAGAAAGAAGAUUUCAAAAAGCUCUCUUUGCCAGUUUCUGGACUUUCGCUAAGCCAACAGUUGCCGCCGGUUGAAAGACCACCGGGAAAUUUCAAAAGACUUUUGGCUGAGUUUUAUGAAAAAAGCCCAUAAAGUAUAUCAAAUGUCAAGUACAUCCUUAAUGUAUUGUAAUUAAGAGGAGUUAUAGUAAAAGUAUCAAAAAGUGAACAAGUUUGAUCCAAAGUUAGAGCCUGUUUGGAUGGGCUUAUAAGCUGGUCAAACUGGCUUAAAAGUCAGUUUUUGACUUAUUAGAGUGUUUGGCAAUUAUCAAAGUAACUUAUUUUAAGUCAAAAAUGACUUAUUUUAAGCCAAAAGCUAAAAGCUAGGGGGGGGAGCUUUUUUUUUUUUAACUUAAAAGCUCUUUUAUGUUGACCAAGUAUAUUACCUUUUUGCCCUUAAUUCUUUUAUACAAUUUCCAAAUUGCCCAUAUUGAAUUAUUAUUAUUAUAAUAAUAAUAUUAUUAUUAUUAUUAUUAUUAUUACUAUUACUAUUACUAUUACUAUUAUUAUUAUUAUUAUUANNNNNNNNNNNNNNNNNNNNNNNNNNNNNNNNNNNNNNNNNNNNNNNNNNNNNNNNNNNNNNNNNNNNNNNNNNNNNNNNNNNNNNNNNNNNNNNNNNNNNNNNNNNNNNNNNNNNNNNNNNNNNNNNNNNNNNNNNNNNNNNNNNNNNNNNNNNNNNNNNNNNNNNNNNNNNNNNNNNNNNNNNNNNNNNNNNNNNNNNNNNNNNNNNNNNNNNNNNNNNNNNNNNNNNNNNNNNNNNNNNNNNNNNNNNNNNNNNNNNNNNNNNNNNNNNNNNNNNNNNNNNNNNNNNNNNNNNNNNNNNNNNNNNNNNNNNNNNNNNNNNNNNNNNNNNNNNNNNNNNNNNNNNNNNNNNNNNNNNNNNNNNNNNNNNNNNNNNNNNNNNNNNNNNNNNNNNNNNNNNNNNNNNNNNNNNNNNNNNNNNNNNNNNNNNNNNNNNNNNNNNNNNNNNNNNNNNNNNNNNNNNNNNNNNNNNNNNNNNNNNNNNNNNNNNNNNNNNNNNNNNNNNNNNNNNNNNNNNNNNNNNNNNNNNNNNNNNNNNNNNNNNNNNNNNNNNNNNNNNNNNNNNNNNNNNNNNNNNNNNNNNNNNNNNNNNNNNNNNNNNNNNNNNNNNNNNNNNNNNNNNNNNNNNNNNNNNNNNNNNNNNNNNNNNNNNNNNNNNNNNNNNNNNNNNNNNNNNNNNNNNNNNNNNNNNNNNNNNNNNUUGUUAUUGUUGUUAUUAUUAUUAUUGUUAUUACUAUUAUUAUUAUUCUUAUUCUUAUUCUUAUUAUUAUUAUUAUUAUUAUGUUGUUGUUUAUUAUUAUUAUUAUUAUGUUUUAUUUUUUUUAAGUAUAAAAACCUUAAAUUAAUCAACUUUUUAUCAUGUUAACAGCUUAAAGGGUAUUUCAGACAUUUUGAUAAAAAAAAGUGUAUACCAGCACUUAUUUGCCAAACACAUCAACAACUUUUUUUUCAAUUGCAGCACUUUUAUCCAAACACAUAACUACUUAUUUUAAAAAUAAGUUCCAGCACUUUAAAAGUUACUUUUUAAAAGUUACUUUUUUUAAGUCAAUCCAAACGGGCUCUUAGUAUGUCCGUCUAAAAGUAACGGUGAACCAAGCACGUGCAUUGCACGUGACUCAUUUUGUAGACAACAUAUUACUUUUUGAUAAAGCCGUGAGCUAAAACGGUGGCUUCGACAAAUAAAUUACCCUAAAAUAUAAGCGUGAACUAAUAUUUAAGAUAGGAAACCUCAAACAACCUAACGGGCGGGGCGUUCGGUUCUUCGGUUCAGUUUUAUUAAAUUUUGAUUUGGUUUUUAGUUUUAGAAAAGCGUGCACCGUAUAUUAAAACAAACUAAUUUGGUUCGGUUCAGUUUUUUCUACUUCGGUUUGGUUUAAUUCGGUGUUUUUAAAUAGGUUUUUCGAUGUGAAUGAAAAAUAAAAUAAAAAUAAAGUACAAGAUACUUAGAAAUUUAAAACUAUGUUAAGGAAUGAUGCGUAUCACCGUGGAACACUUAUUGUACUAACUAAAAGACUAUAUUUGUCUUUAUCAAGAACAUUGUGCCUCCAACUAUUUCUCGAGAAAAACAAGUACAAAGAAGGUUCCUUUACAUAAUGUACAUUGGUAGAAAUAUGUUUGAGUUUCUCUUGGAAAUUAAUAUUUGAAGUUAACUAUUGAAUUGUACAUUUGUUGUUACAUUAAUUUGUUCAUGAAUGAUUUAAUUGUUAGUUGAAUUUUUAAUUUUUAGUUAAGAGAAUGCCCAUAUAUAUAUAUAUUAUUAUUUUUAUUUUUUAAUUUUUUUUAUUUUUUUUAUUUUAUUAUUAUUAUUUAUUUAUUUUUAUUUUUUUUUAAUUUUUUUUAAUUUUUUUUUUUUUAAAUAAAAGUGGUUCUUCGAUACACCGAAGUUUUGAGACCCUUACACCGAAUCGAAGAACCGAACUUCCGAAAAAAUAACAUCGACACCGAACCGAAAAACCGAAGAACCGAAUUAGUUCGGUUCAAUUCGAUUUUUCGAUUUUCCGGUAUUUAUGCCCACCCCUAACCCUAACCACUCCAAAACGCUAUUUGUACUUUUUUUCUAAGCUAAAUUUAUUAUAUUUCAGUGAUACAACUAUUCACUUCAUAUUUGUUAAUUACAUCACUAUUAGCGAUACAGAGCAGAUUUCGGAAACUCUCCCCUACAUUUGAUAAUCAUCUAAAUUAUCACAAUGUUUGUUAAUUAGACAUCAAAAUGUCCCUAUUUUCUGAUAUAUAUUUUCCCCCAAUUAAAAUCUUGUUAGCAAAAAAUGAUAGUAGUACUUCUUAAAAGGACGGAAUUACACGAAUAAACAAAUAUAUACUAGUUAAUUAGUUAAUAUAGCUAUACUCUGGCUUAUUUAUAAUUCGCCAUUGACAUUUAGCAUUAAUUAUGUGGGCUUUGUUUUGAGUUUGUAUAAUUCGCCACUGACAAUUCUUUGUUUGACUUGUAUUUAUAUAUAUGACUGUUUGUAUUUGUAUAUGACAGUGAUUUUCUUUGAUUUUUCAGUUUUAUUAUCGAAUACAUUCAAUGUUUUUUGUAUAAAUUUUUAAAGUUUGUAUAAAUGUGUAGUUUUCAAAAAAUUAUAAUAUAAUAUGUAUAAUUUUUGUAUAAUGUAAUUUAUAUAAUAUAAUGUGUAUAACUAUUUAAAUUUCAGUUGUUUGUGUUUAUAUAAAUACGUUAUUUCGAGUUUUAUCAUAUUUGUAUCAUUCCAAAAUUUAUAUUAUCUAACUUUAGAUCUACAAUUGUAGGCAUAUUUGUAUAAAUCCUUAAUUGUAUAUAGUUAUUUUAGUUGUAUAUUUCAAUAUUUUACUUAUACAAAAUAUAUAAGUACAAAAGUCUACCAACAUAAUUAUACUUAUACAAAUACAGACGAAUAACUCAUUAUACAAAUAUACACAAAUUAUACAAACGUAUCCGUGAAUUCUAUAAACGAAUAAGAUAUAACUAUAGCCAGAAAAUAUGCAAACUAUAGUUAAAGUGCCUAAUUAAGUUUAGGGAAAAUUACGCGGUUAAGCAAACUUAAACUACUUAAUUAGUCAUCAUAGUGAUAGUUUGUUAUAAUUACCACUCGCGACUAACAUUAACCAUUAAUUACGUGGGCUGACUUCAAGUUUGUAUAAUUAGUCAUGUUUGUAUAAUUCGCCACAUUUGUAUAAUUCACAACUAAUAAUUCUUCGUUCGAUUUGUAUACGAUGUUUUGUAUUUUUAUAUGACAAUGAUUUCCUUUAGUUUUAUCACCAUAUACAUUCAAUCUCUUUGUGUAUAACUUUUUAAAGUUUGUAUAAAUGUGUAAUUUUUGAAUUUUGUAUAGUAUAAUUUAUAUAAUGUAAUUUGUAUAACUAUUUAAAGGGAAAAAGGACGAAUAUACCCCUAAACUAUCGCAAAUGGUAUGCAGAUACCAUCUGUCAUACUUUUGGGACAUUGGUGCCCCUACCGUCCAAAAACUAUAACAUAUAUACCCUUUAUACUAACGGACAUACACGUGUCAUAAUAUUGUCCACCGAUCCGAUAUUUAAUAAAUAUCGGUUCGAAAGAUAAGAUUGCGCCACGUGUCUCUAUUUAGUUUUCCGUUAAAGUGAAUGGCAUAUAUGCUAUAGUUUUUGGACGGCAGAGGCACCAAUGUCCCAAACGUAUGACGGAGGGUAUCUACAUACCAUUUACGAUAGUUCGGGGGUAUAUUUGUCCUUUUUCCCCUAUUUAAAAUUCAUAUGUUUAUGUUGUAUCAAUUCGUUAUUUCGAGUUUUUAUCAUAAUUGUAUAAUCCAGACUUAUAUUACUCAAUUAUACAAACGUAUCCGCGAAUUAUACAAACGAGAUGCGAAUUAUACAAAUUAUUGCCCUCUCUCUCGCCUCUUUCCUCCCUCUCCCAAUCUCUCUCGAAUCUCUCCUCCCUGUCCCAAUCUCAUUGCCUCUCUCCUCCCUCUCUCAAUCUCGCUCGCCAGAUAUACAAAUACAUAUGUAUACAAGUUACAUAUAUACAAUUAUCUAACCAAUAUACAUAUACAAUUCACCUCUCUCCUUCUUCUCCCAAUCUCACUCGCCACUCUCAUCCCUAUGACAUGUAGAUAUGAAUCGUAAUUAACAAACUAUAGCUAUGAAGCAUAAUUAAACUAUUUUUGAGUGGCUAUAUGCGAAAGUUCUCCUUAAAUUUAUUAUAUAGUGGCUAUUUGCGAAAUUUCACCAAAAAAUGCCCACGACCCGACUCAAGCUACGGCCCAUAUCGUACCAUUUAUAAAUUUAGCUAUGAUUAGGGUUUAUUACGACAAUUUCCGCCAUCUCAGUACCCCUCCAACUCUGCUGCCGCAGCUGUAACAUCUUCCCGCGGAAGCGCCAUGGUAUCUCUCACCGAUUUCCGUUUCAUGAGUGUUGAUGCUUUAUCAUAUGUAUUCGAUUUAACUUGAAAUAUCAUUUUUGAUUGUGCAAUGAGAACAGGCUUCAGAGAAGAAAUUGAGCAACCCCAUGAGGGAUAUCAAGGUCCAGAAGCUUGUCCUCAACAUCUCCGUCGGUGAGAGUGGAGAUCGACUCACCAGAGCAGCAAAAGUCUUGGAGCAACUUAGCGGCCAAUCCCCUGUUUUCUCUAAAGGUAUGCUUUUGAAUCUUCUAACCCUUUUCCAUUUAAGUACAUUAAUUAUCUGUUGUAGGAAAUAUUAGCUUUGCACCAUGAACAUUUAUCUAAUGUGUGAAGUGACACUUAUGUAUACCUUCAAGCUGUUCCUUAUAAUCCAGUAGCGAAUCUUGGAUAUCUGUAACAUGGGUGCAUCACUAAAAAAUCAAGGAAAAAGAGAUUGAUCCCUAAUCUACUUAAUUAAAUAACUCAACCUUCAACCAAGUGCACCAUUUGGUAUUCUUGUAGCAUGGGUACCUGUAUAUAGUAGUAUGCAAGUUUUAGAAAAUAUUUACAUAAAUUACCUAGUUUAUGGAGAGAUCACAGAUUCACAUGCCCCAAAUUUUGCCUAUGGUGAUUGUUUAACUUAUUGUUUGUCUGCUAGUUUUUUCUAGUUUAUCAUUGAUUUUUAAUCAGUUGAAGUUUAAAUAUCAUCCUGAAUAGAAUAGAAACAUGCAAAAAUUCAUGUAGCCUAACCCUUUUUUUUUUUGGUUGCAUUGGAGCCUAGCUGAUUGCUUGAUAAUGGCAGUGUAAAUGUUGAGUCAUGGAAUUAAUCCAUGGUUAAUUUGAUCUAUAUGCAUUCAAUCUGUUCCUUGCAGUGGCGAAUCUAGACUUUCUAUAACAUGGGUCCAUGGAAAUUUAUCCCUAAUCCUCUAGUUAAAUAACUCAACCUUCAACUAAGUGCACCUUAUAGUCUUCUUUGUAGCAUGGGUGCCCUCAUAUAAUACUAUACAAAUGUAGAUAAUGUAUCCACAAAAUGCCUAGUUUUACAGAGACACCACCGGUUCACUUGCUCAUUUUUUGCCUAUAAAUUUACCCCUGGUUCUUUGUAGGGUGUUUGUUUAACGUAUUAUUUCUCAGCUAGUUUUUUUAGUUUAUCAUUGAUUUUUAAUCAGUCGCAGUUUAAAUAUCACCCUGAAUAGAAUGGAAGGAUGCAAAAAUUCAUUUAGCCUAACCCUUCUUUUUUGCCUUGGAGCCUAGUUGAUUGCUUAAUAAUGGCAGUGUAAAUGUCAAGUAAUGGGAUUAAUCCAUGGUUAAUUCGAUCUGUAUGCAUGUAGAUGAAAUUUCUUUUUGCAAUUAAUGAAGGCACUAGCAUAUUUGGUUCAUAUUUUUGUAUUAUACUGGGUGUAUAAUUUUUAGCUAUUUAGGCAUGCUAGUAUUUGCGGUAGAUCUUGGUUGAAGUCAGUGUUUAUCACAAUUUGUUAGUGUUUAUGAAAACCACGCCAUUCACAAUUUAUGGAUAGUGAACUAGUGUCCUGCUUUUGUUCAAAAGUUAUUUGUUUUGAAGUGUUUGUUUGUGGACAUUUAACUGAUGUUGUAUGUAUCUCAGCUUUCCCUGUUUGGAGAUAUUCUUAAAAGAUUUACCCUCUUAUAAAAAAAAUAUUUGAUCUCUCAUGUUAUUGUUAUGGUUCUCAUUAACAGCAAGGUAUACUGUGCGGUCCUUUGGAAUCAGGCGUAAUGAAAAGAUAGCUUGCUAUGUGACUGUCAGAGGGGAGAAAGCUAUGCAGCUUCUUGAGAGUGGAUUGAAAGUUAAGGAAUACGAGUUGUUGAGAAGGAACUUCAGUGAGACCGGCUGCUUUGGGUUUGGUAUUCAGGAGCACAUUGAUCUUGGAAUCAAGUAAGCAGAUCAUCAUUUAGAUCUCUUUCUGGUUUAUAGCUUUCACGACUUACAUAAUUAGCUGUGUUGCAUAGGAGGUAACUGGAGCUAGUCUUCCUUUUUUCUUACAAAACAAGAAAAUCGCAUUAGCUUUUGCGUUGAUACCCAUAUAACUUGGAAGUAGUUUAAGGAAACAUGAUUUACUUUUUUCAUAUUGUUUUCUUGGAUCUAUCUUAUGGUUGCCGUGUCUUACAAUAUUAACCCGGAAAGAUUUGCAUCUGCUAUUUUGCAUUUAAAAUUUCAAUCUAUUAAUGUCUGUCAUCCUAUUUUUUGUUAAAAAUUUUCAGAUAUGAUCCUUCAACUGGUAUUUAUGGAAUGGAUUUCUAUGUUGUAUUGGAGCGCCCUGGCUACCGUGUUGCCCGUCGUCGCAGGUGCAAAUCUCGAGUCGGGAUUCAGCACAGGGUCACUAAGGAGGAUUCAAUGAAGUGGUUCCAGGUCAAAUAUGAAGGUGUUAUCCUUAACAAGUCCUCAAACAUUCAGUGAUAAGCUGAGUGCCAACUUUUGGAUCAGCUUGUCUCCUGGCAAGUUUAUUUUUAUGUAUUUUUGUAGACAGCCAUCGAUAUUACUAUUAAAGGAAUGUUUUGGAGAGAUUCUAGUGGGCAAAUCAGUAUGUUUUAUUUCUCAUUUUGGCAAUCAGAUGAAUUCAAAUCUUUGUUAUGGUCAUUGUCAGUUGUUGCAAUUUAAGUAGGAAUUAUUCAACCACACAAUUGUGUUACUGCAAUGCCUAAGCGUUUCAAGUAAAUCAGGUUUGGAGCUGGAUGUUUGUGGCACAGAAUGCAUACAAGUACAUCAUUGGUGUUUUAUUUGCUAUUGGUGUUUGCGUUUAGUCUCUCCUCUUUCUCUAAACAUCUCGUCAAUCUUAUCAUGCGCCAUUGCAUGUGUUAUGCUUGAAAUAGGUGGAUGUCUAUCUCAACCGCACACAGUAAGUUGAAGCUUGUGGCAGCUUACGUGACUGAGCUCUGAUUUGAAGGAGAGAUGUUAAGGGACAAACCUUUAUAUAUCGGUUACGUAUGAAUGCAUAAUAUUCAACGUUCGACUCGGGUCUAAUCUCGACUCGUUAUGUUGCUCAACCUUAUUGUCGCAUACAUUCACUACAACUUACAAAAUAUUAUGUCACGAUAUGAUAUUUUCUCACAAGAUUUUCUUUUAACUGUGGUCUAAAAAGUCUUUAAUCCACACCUAAGAUCUAAAACCAUGAUGCUGGGGAAUAUAUAUAUAUAUAUAUAUAUAUAUAUAUAUUCCAGCCCAACUAAUCUACAAUUAACAGCAAGUAAGGAUAUUGUAGCGAAUGACCCGGCCAGUUUAAUACUUACCUGUAGGAUCCUAUUAAAAUGAGGAAACAAUACAAAUCCCUCCGUCAAAUACAUGUAUCUCGGAUACAUGGGUCAAAUUGUAUUCAAACAUGAUUUGUAUGUAUAUGUGAUACACUAAUACUCCUGCCCACCUUUGUCCUCUGUUGCUUGCCUCUCUCCAUAUGUAUAUGUGUUUUAGAGUGUAUCUAAUAUCAAAGAAACAUGUAUCUAGUGUCAUAUGCAUGUAUAUGACUUGAAUUGGUAUGAAAUUAGUGAGACAAUAUGUAAUCAUUUCAAACUAUAGUGUGAAUUACUCCCUCCGUCCCAUUUUAUGGGAGGUACUUUGACUCGGUACGAAGUUUAAAAAAGGAAGGAAAGCGUUUAAAACUUGUGGUCUAAAAUUAAUGAUAGAAAUUUGUGUGGCUGUAAAUCAUUUUAUUAAGGGUAAAAUGAACAUUUUAUAGUUAAAUUGUUACUUAAUAUAGAAAUGUGUUAUUCUUUUUAGGAUUGACUAAAAAGGAAAAUAAUUCAUAUAAAUUGAGACAGAGGAAAUGAUAUAUAUGGUAGGAGUGUUGCUGAAAUUAAGUAGUUUUUCCAGAUACAUGUAUCGUCGUGUAUGUCUUCUUUAAUUUUUUUUAAAAAUGUAUCAUGUAUGUCCAGCCAUGUGAACUCAACUAAUAUUUUACAGUUCACACAAGAAGAAUAAAUACAAUUUAGGAAAAAUAAUAAAUGAUCCACACACAAAAGCUCUAAUUCGGAACUAAAAAUGUUUUUAAAUGUUCGAUAUUUUAAAUGUUUUAUUAAUUUCCAAAGUACUCCUUGUCAAUCAAGGAAUACCCUUCACCUAUAUAUGUAGUGUUUAGUAGAGCAAUGACUAUUGAAACACAUAUUGCUAUAUUUCAUUAAAAUUUCUAUUCAUAUAUAUACAAUGGCUUCUUCUUCUCGUCCACUUCCUUCUGAUAUAAUUUUCAAGAUAUUAAGUCGAACAUCAUUGGAAACACUAGACACUUGCAAGGCUGUUAAAAAAGAAUGGCACGAUAUGAUUUUCGAAUCGAGUUUCAUGCCACAAUUUUGUGCUAAUAGUCAAAAUAUCUCAGGAUAUUUUGUCCAGGGUCGGUUCUUUGGCGAGCAGGUAUCAGAAUUUGUAUCAAUGGAUGGUUGUUCAGGGAAUAGUACUACUACAACCCCAUUCCAUCUUCCUCGUCCUGAUGAACUAGUAAAGCUUCCGGCGGCCUUCUUCGUCGACACGAGGAUUGUGGCCUCCACAAUGCAAGGGAUUCUAUGUUGUGUAAUUACAUUGGGGAAUUGGAGGUCUAGAUUUCAUAUCUGUAAGCCUAGCACCAAGCAAUGGGUGAAACUUCCUAGUCCAAAAAUGCGUUAUUUUACCGAAAAAGUUGCUCUCAUUGUGCUGAGAUCAAAACCUCUGCAUUUCAAGAUUAUAAGGUUGUCGUUUCAGGCUCAGCCUUGUCAUUAUAGCAAACUGGGGCUGAUCAGGCACUAUCGAUGUGAGAUUUUUGAUUCUGAAUAUUGGAGGUGGAGGCAAGGAAAAGAUAUAUUGUUGUCAUCCUUCUUUGAGCCAUAUGCUCCAGCAGUGCAUGCAGCUGGUUUGAUUUAUUUCCAACUAUGUCAUGGUCAGGUGAUGGCUCUAAACUAUGAUGGGGAAGAAGUUUUUCCAAGACCCUCUCUUCCAAAUUGUCCCGGUAUUGAUGAUACGUACAAUGAUGGUCACCGGCAUAUUAUGGAGUAUAAGGGGAAGCUUGGGUGCACCUGUUUGUCACCCAAUGGGAUAAUGCUUUGGGUUUUCGAUAAUGGAAGACGAGAUUGGGAGUUGAUCAUUAAGGAAGUAGACAUUGAGAUUAUAAAGGGCGAGGCAAAAUAUGCAAUCCCGCAUGGGUUUUAUAAUGCAGAUAUUGUUUUGAUGGCAGAGGACAAUAGAGUUUUCUUCUACAAGCUUCAAGACAAGAGCUUUAACUUAGUUACACUGAAGAAAUGCCAUGGUUUUCUAGAAUUCUUCCCUUUCCGAUCAGAUUUAGAGCCAAUGGAUAUAAGGAUGCCAGGAGCCAACAUAGUUUCCUCCACCAAGCACCGCUAUCGUCCCUCUUGGAUUUCGUUUGUUAUUGUUUUCAUAUUUCUUUUCGGUAUUAUUUUGUUGUUUUCUCAUGCAUGAGAUAGUUGUUGUAAUGACCUGCCAAUUCUGCUCAAAUGUAUGUUGAAAAACCUAAGAGCUGUUUCCUUUUAUGGUAAUUGGUCCAACAUAUUAUUGUUCUUCAACUUUGUUUUAGUUUGCCAUUAAUUCUUAAUCAGUUGCAGUAUAAAUAUGAGUCUUUAAUAGAACGAAAGUCCGCAAAAAAAAUCAUAUAGCCAACCCUUUGUCUUUGCAUUGAGGGCCUAGUUAAUUGUUUGAUAAUUUCACUGUAAUUCUCAUCAAAUUUGUUUUGAGAGUUGGCAUGGUGAAUUUAACAUACAAUAAAACAGAAACUAAAUCAAUUACCUCACAGAUGAUCGAGUAAUAAUAUAAACUCUAUGAAAAAAAGAUGCAAAACUCCGUUUACACGCAAAAUAUGUUUGCAGUUGUGUAAAAGUAAAAUAAACUAAACAAUCUUUAAAACGCCAAAGUCUGCUCUAGAAUGUACAAUAAUAUAAACUCAACAUAGAAAGUUGGAGGGAUAUAUAUACAAUACUAAACCCAAUCAGGUCCCAAGUUGGAAACUUAUGAGAAAGGGACUCAGUAACUGAGCUUGAUAACACGAGACACCCUCUGGAAGAAAAGUGGACACAUAUUUGGGCUGAACAUGAUUGUAUCCCUCAUCCAUUCAGGGGCCACUCUCUCAAAAGUCCCCAGUGACAAUACGCGGUACACCAAUUCAUGUUCUGCAGAUGCAUUCUUUGUCAACGUCAGACUAAAAGAUAAUCCUGCACAAACCAAGACAAUGGACCUUCAGAUUGUACGCUCCAAAAGUUGCUGUUAUCAAUAAACAAAUUAAACUUGGAGUGAUGCAUGCUUCACUUAGCAACGAAAAGAAGAAACAUGACAGCACCACAGAGUUCAAUAGCAACCGUAUCACUUCCUCCAUGCAUCAAACUAGAGUAAUGAGGCAAGUUUAUAUUGUCUCCGCAAAACAAACAUAUGGACAUCGUUUCCUUGUCAGUAUUUGUGAAUUAAAUACAGCCAAAGACCAUAAAGCAUACUAUAUGACCACAAGAAACUGUGAAACAUAGUUAGUCCAGAUAGCUGAUCAAUUAGACUUGUCGGUAAUUCACACCAUUAUUUAAUCCUAAGCCUUUCUAGUUCUCUCUCUGUGUGAGGGUAUCGCAACACAUAAAUAUUAAAGAGCAACUAUCACAAUGCUGUACUUUAAAUUGGAAAUGAAAGAAAAAAGGGAAAUUGGAAAUUCUGAUUAUCUGAAUGAAGUUCAACAUUAAAGAGCUGGCUUAUAAGGGGCCUAAGUGAUUCCUUUCUAAUUUAGUAAUUUCCAUAAAUUAACAACACUCUGUUCAUUCAGUGGCAAAAACGACCAAGUUCUCUUGAGGGGCAAACUUCAUCAAUGUUUAAGGUUGUAUUUUUUACUUGAAUUCUUCAAAAUUUAGAAAAUAAUAGUAAACACAAACUAGAAUACUACUAUUGAAUGAAAAAAUUCUAGCACAAAACAAUAUGAUUUAAAAAUAAUUUGAUGGUCAAAUUAGGGGUCAUAAUGGUGAGGAACAAGUUAUCCUGGGUUACGUUAUCCUGGGAAAAGUUGUUUCACCAUGCAUAUGGGAUAACUUAUCCCAUCACUAAGGUAUAAAGUGUGGGAUAAAUAAUCCCAGGACUGCAUUAACCUCCAACCAAACGCAGGAUAAAAUAGUCCUACACUUUAUCCCUAGGAUUAUUAUUCCUUAUACUUCAAACCAAACGACUCCUUAAUUUAACCAAAGAUAAUUAACUUGAAGAUGUAGAUACAGUUGAGUGCACUGUGGUAGCAAAUGUAUAAUAAGACAAGUGAGAAUCAUUUAGUAGCUCAAAUUACACCAUUAAAAAUAUAGAAGUUCACCACUCAAACAACCCCUGGUUGGUUUUUAUACAGCUGUUGUCGGUAAAAUCACAGAAAUGAAACUUAGGUGGCAUUUGGUUCAAAAUUUGAAAGAGCUUUCGAAGAAAAAAAAAAAGAUGAAAAAAAUUCAAUUUGACACCAAGAGAAAUUUUUUUCCAGUUUUGCAGAUAGAAAUGAAACUAAAGAUGUAACAAUCGGAUGAUUUCUUAUAAACUAUCUAGGUUUCUGAUUAUAAGCAAGCACCAUUUCAAGUUUCAGCGACUAACUUCUCUUAAUUGAGGAUGUUUUUCUGAUUAUCUCUCGACUCCCACAAGACAAAUUAAGAUUAAUAUCAACCGCAUAUUGUAAUGACUUAGAUCCCAAAAUUUAAGUUCAUACAAACUUUUAGUUUUCAGUUAAAUUGGACAUACUGCCAACUAGUUAUUGUUAGGUCAAAAUUAUAAAAAAAAAAUAAAAAAACUAAAAGUUCAACCAAAUAAAACUCAAGUCAUCAAAUACGGCACGUUUUCUAAGACUAUUGAAACUUGAACGACGCCUCUGUAAAUUUCAAAGAUUUUUUAACAAGUAUUAGCACAUAUUUGCUUAGGCAGACGGCAGUAGAAAAUGGAAGUGGAAAGAAAGAAAAAGGACCAAAAAUUGAAGCAAGAUCCAGGAUAACAAAGUUCCUCCAGAAAUUACCGCUCGACUCAUGAAGAGCUGAUAUGCAUAAUUCUUCAUUUUCCGUGACAGCAGAAAAUUUCAUACCGACUAACCACUGAACAAGGUCUUGGAAGAUGCACGAGGCUGGAGAUAUGUCAGCAGCACUAUCACCUAGAAUAUCCCAUCAAAGGAAUAGUUACAUAAGAGGAGACGACACAUAUUAAAAUUAACAACUAAAGGUGGGACAAACCAGAAAUGUCAACAUUUCUUCUACAGCAAGCAGGCUGCAAAAUAUUGCCUAAUGGUCAGAAUAGUAAAAUCCCAGCUCAAGUUUACCGGAUAAACUAGCAUAUGUGAUAGAAAUUGGAGAGUAGCACUGACCUCGGUGUACUUAUAUGAACUCAUACUUGGUUGUUCAGGUCUUUUUGGAAGUUCUUCCAUGGGAGAUGGUGUAUGUGUGUCUUGUACAAUGAGCAAAGACUGCCUACGGUGUUUCUUGUUUGUUCUGGUUGAGUCAUCCAAUGCAUCUGGAAGAGAAUCUCCAUCAGUAAUAAUUUGUCUUCUUUUUCCUUUAUCAUUGCUAGCAUUGAAACAGGUCCCCUCCUGAUCAAGUUGUUGAAGCCUCUGAAUUUCAUCACGGAGUUCCUUAUCUGCAGCAUUGGCAAUAUCUAUAUAACUAUUUGGAUUUCAAAAUUGGAAAACUUAUUCAACAGAAUGCAAAUAUUAAUCUCCAAAAAAGUUCAAAAGUAAACAGCAAAGCCAUUAUAAGAAGCACUAAAAUCCCCAGAGGAACACAAUGAAUAGUUGCCUUCAUAGAGCACUUAGCAAAUCUCUAUAGCAAUAACAUAUUAGCAAAUAUUUCAAUUCAAAAACUGAAAAUGGAAAGUACUUACUAAAAGUCUAGAACUUGAAUGAGAAAAAAACAGAACAAAAGUCAAAAUAGUGAGUAAAAAACAGAGGUAGAAGUAACUCUGAAGUCUGAAGAAGAAGGAAAAAGAAAUAGAGGAAGAAGAAAUUUGAAGAAGAAAAAAGAAGGAAAAGAAUAACUAUGUAUUGUUUGGACUUUGAAGUCGCUGGAGAAGUCUAGUCGAGUAGACGGGUUGGAGUCGCAGUCUAAGAGUGCAACUGUGCAAAUUUGGAAAGAAAACCCUAAAGUUACCUUUUAACUUUUAGAACUCUAAAUUGGUUGCUUAUUUUAAGAAAAUACAAAAGGCGACACCUUUCUCGCCUUUGUCAUCAUGGCAUCACCUUGCCACAAAGCUAAUAGGCGAUAAAGGGUCACCUCACCUUGCCUCUCGCCAUUGGCGACAAGGCAAUCGCCUUUCACAACACCGUAGAAGACACAGAUGGAGCAUCUAGUUUUGUAGAAAGUAGACAGAUAAAGGCAUCAAAUAUAAAAGAAUGUUUGAAGAAAUAAACCCCAUCUGACGCCACCAAUUGCUAAGACUGUCAAACAAGCAUUGAAGCUGAACAUCUCUCUUUCUAAAUGGACAUAAAGAAAUCACAUCAAGUCCUGAAUGGAUUGAAAUUCAAACAUGUUUGAACUAUAGAGACCUCUCUUAGAAAUUUUAUGCUUCAAUAAGAGUAACAAGAAAUUGAACCUUUGAAGUCACUGGUAUUUUCUUCAACUUGCAUAUACGUAGACUUAACCACAAAUCCAAUAUAUUUAAAGCAAUACUAACCUGCCUAGCUGUCUAGCAGAAAAUAUAGAUAGGACUAUAGACAUUAUAAGAGUUCUACCAUGACUUGAAAUUUAUCCUUACUCUUCAGGUUCUCUUCCAUCAAAAGCUUUUGGUAUUGAAUCAUUUCUUCAUCUUUGGCAGACCUGCAGCCGAGUUAAGUACACAUUUAUAUUCUUUUGAUUAUUCUUACUGAAUAGAGUAAGCCUUUCUCAUGAGUGCAGACCUCAUUGAUGUCAUUUCACUCCUCAACUCAUUUACUUGUUCCCCUAGUCUGUCCGUUUCACUUCUCAAGUGGUCAAUCACUGCAUCAGCAGCUGGAAGAAACAAAGCUGCAUGUCAAACCUUCAACCAAGUUUGUAUCUAAUGUAAUUAAAAAUAGCACCUAUGAGUUCUCCAAGUACAGAUUUCAUCUGGAAAUACAAUUUCAUACUUUCAACAGAGACUCAACGUAUAGAAUGUGUAAGAAUAUGACAAAUACAAUCUCUAAAUUGGCAAAACGUAAUAGCUACAAAAGAAAAAGGGGAAAUUCCAUAAUUAUUAGAUAAAAAUCAAGGUAAGCAUUCAAAUAUAAACCUACCAGCCACAUAAUUCACAAAUUUCUCCUCUUGUUCCCGAUUCAGGUUCUCCAUGCUAGUGUCUUUUUCUUUCUACCAAAAAGAAAAAAGAUGAAUGAAAAAUCUUACUCUUGCAAACCACUAAUUGUAAACAGGAAAAGACACUAAGUUCCCACCUAGUUCAGCUCAAAAAUUAAAUUUAAAAAAUGAACUUGUACAAAUCCCUAAAUACCUUGAGCUUAGCGUACUUGCUGUAGAGCUUAGAAUAAAGCGCCUCCAUCUGAAACAAAAACAACAAACCCGUAGAAAUAACAAUAUUAGCAACGAAAAAUGCUCUUGAGAACCCUAACAUUCAGAUUUGAAGAUUUAUCAGUGAAAAUAACAACAUCUAAAGCUGAAUUCAUGAACUAUACCUUGGGUAAAGAAGCCGACAUCGGAAAACUGGGGAAUGGAAAUGCCGGCGGCGUUGUUCAAUUCAGUUUCUCAAAACGAAGAAUUUGAAUGACGAGCUUUGGCGGGAGAUAUGAGAAAUUCCCAAUUUGGAGAAUUUCUUUCUUUCUACCUAAAUUUAAUUUAAAGCAACUUUCCGUUUGGGCCUCGGGUCAGGUUGAUCCGGCUCAUUUUGGGCCUUAUAACGCAAUUUGACUUUACGUUCUCGUCAAACAUCUACAUUACAUAAAGGGAAUUAUUUCCGUUCAUUUUCUAUAGAUUUGGGCGGAUUAAUGAUCCGUUAAUUAUUAACUCUAUCUAUCAUUAAAUCUGUAUAUUAUUAUUUUGACAUGAUUUUUUUUGGAAUUAAUUUUUCAUAUUAUAUUUUACUUCUCUAUAACAAUAAUGACAUUCAUAUAAUAGUAUACUCUUUGUAAAAUUUACCCUUCUAUAACACUCAUACUCAAAUACUGUAUAAUAAUAUCCCUUCUAUAACACUCAUACUCAAAUACGGUAUAAUAAUAUUUUGUAAGAAAUAUAUUAUGUAUAUAAAAAGACUAAUAUAAAAGUGUUGAUUAACAAAUAUUUUGUAAGAAAUAUAUUAAAUAGAAACUGUAUAUUUUGUAACAAACUAUUGAAUGCCCUUUAUUGAGAGUUUGGACAAAAUCUUCGUCAAUUCAAACGGUAUAUUGUCACUAAUAGACUAGAAUUUACGAAACAACUUACAAUUAGGGGUAUACAUAGACCAAAUUGAUUUCAAACCAUUUGUAUCGAAUUUUUUAAUUUUGUAAACCAAACCAAUAAAAGUCAGGUUUUUCAACCUCGAUUUUUUUUCUCCAGACUUUUUUAUUUCUGCGAGUUUUAGGGGACUAGAAUAGCUAGCUCAAAUUGCUUUAGCUCCCAUCGUGAUUUUAUCCUCAAUCCACCUAUGUCGAGAUAAAUAUAUAACCUUGAAUUCGCGAGUUCAAAAUAAUAUAAUCUCAUUACUAUUGUAGGAGUAAACUUUUUAUAAAGUUGAAGCCAAAGCAAUACCUUCGAUCAAUUGAAUUCUAACGUGGUUGACUUCACAAGUAAGCAAAACCAGGAUAGAUUUAUUGAAGAUAUUGCCUAUAGUACUAAGCAUUCGGAUUCUUGUUAUCUGUCUAGCACUAUAUAUUGUCCAUGUGAUUGUGGAAAAGGGAGAUGACAUAUCACAUAUACCUUCUUUGGACAUUUGUUUGCAUGGCUUUGGUACCUCUACUUUUCCUUAAAGCUUCAAUUAUAAUGCUCAGUGAAAAAGUUUAUUAUUAGUAUAGGUCAUAUAUAUUCACAUGCAUCUCAAAUGUGAUAUAUGUUACAUAUAUACCGUCAUUAUACAUAUUCACUGAUUUAACUUCAACCCUUACUACUAGUGAUCCUUCCGUUCACUUUCACUUAUUCACUUUGAAUAUGACACGUUUCUUAUGAAACUAGUGAAAUACUGAUUGAUAUAUAUUAGCAAUCAUCAUAAUAUUCAUAUUAAUAAUCAAUGUCUAGUCUUAUGUCUUGAGAAAUAAUUUGAAGAAUAAGUUGAUGCCAAGGUAAAGUAUUAAAAAUAUUAUAAUUUUCUUUUGAUGUGCUAAAAGUGACAAGUUAAAAAUAAAUAAAUAUUUUAAGUAUAGUAUUAGACAAUUAAAAGUGAACGUAGGGAGUACACGCUACAUCUAGAAAAAUUAUAAAAAUAAAAUGAUACUCCUUUUCCAUUUUAUAUAACAUGAUUUAGAGUAAGGGAUAUUCAAAACAAUUAAAAAUUUGUGUCAAUCCAAACAUAAAUCUACAAUCUUUUUAGGAUACAAUUUACAUAUUUAAAAGCUAAAAAAAUAUUUUUAAUAGCUAUGAAAUGAGCUAAAACUAUAUUUAUUUUGAUGGAUGGAGUACAGUUUAACAUGAAUCAAUAAAAAAGAAGUAUAGAUAGAAAACAAAAGAUCAACUGCACCAACCAACGUAUUAGCAACUAUAGUUUAUAAGCCAAUCAACAAAGGUAGUGAUGGAUUAGUAAGUAAUCAUUCAUUUCUAAUCAAAAUUUCAAAUUUGAGUCUUAUUGAAUAUAUAAUCAAUCGUCUAUAUUAGAAAACACUUAAAUAGGUCUCCAAUUAUGAUUUUUUUGGCAAUAAAUUAAAUUUAGUUAGACUUCAAAAUUAAUAGAGAUACAAACCAUAAAAAUACAAUUGGCAAGCCAAACCUCAAAAAUUAGAUGAUAUAUAGACAAAUUGUUGAUUCUGUGCACACUACAACAAUAAAAAUAAGAGGUGUCCAAUCUCAUUCAUUCAUAUUUUUAAAUUUUAAAUAUAAAAUCAAUGUCACAUACCCCAGUUAGCUUCGUCAAAAAGCGUUAAGUAUGGGAACAAAGCAAAAAUACGAAGUAAAAUGAGACAGAACUUUAUAGUAUUAUAUUAUUUAUCAACUUUUUAUCUCUUUCCUAUUGGACUUUGUCGUCAUGAUCUAUAACACUUUCAAUACCAACUUGCCCCACCAUACCCUUUUCUCAUUACCAAACCAACAAUAUAUUAGAAAUAUUUUUCAAUAUCAGUAUCAUUAAAUUUCUGCAACUUUACUAAAAAUAAAGAUUAAAAUAGUGAUAUCUUGCCUUGUAGGUCAAAAAACCUAUUUUUAUUGACAUGGGCUGUGCAGUUUCUGUAAUUAUUUAACUGUUAAGCCAAUUACCAAUGCAUGCGUUAAAAGAUUCUGCUAGACUCUGUAGUACCACUAGUACUUCCUUGCUGAAAACGAGUGUACAAGCUACCCAACAAUAGCAACAAUAAGAAGAAUAAAACUAUAAAACUAUUUGUCAUUAUCACUCUCUUUUCCCUGAAUUUAUACGAGUUAUUUGCGAGAUUUUACUGGGUAUGUUAUUGUAGAUGUUAAAGGAGCUAAAAGACUUUGGUUUGGGUAUGCAUGAAGUUGAAUGAUUGUAUUGGCUAGAUUUGAAUUGCUAAAUCUCAUGCUGCAAUAGGCAUUAUGUUCUCCAUGAUGUUUGUGACUUCCAAACUGCUUUAGAGGUUCAAAUUACAAAGAAAACAAAUUCUUAUCGAAAUUACCAAAUUUGUUCAUUAAAGAUAAUUUUUCAAAUUCUCGAAAUUGAUGAAUUUUAUCUUUUACUAUGACAUGUUUUCUUCUAUUACUACUACUAUUACUAGGAGUGUUGGGAAAAAGUAGAAAAAGCAAGUGACAAUUCUCGUCCAUGGAAAUUAGAAGCAAAAGUGGUGAAUUCGGUGUUUGAACAAUCUAGCAAAAACUAAAGUAAAACUUUAAUAAAUCACUUUACUGUAGAUUCUAGACACAAAAGAUGAAAUUUGUAACUAAUUUUAUGCUUCAACCUUCCACACAUAAUUAAAUUAGAGAAAUACAAAUUAAUCGCAAAGUAAACUUUUUAGAUCAAAGUCAUUCAUGAAAUUUCAAAUUUACGAUCAUUGUUCAUGGUAAUUUGCCGUAAAAUUGGAAAAAUUACGGAAUUAAGCUACGUAAAAGGAUAUACUCUGCCACACAAAAUCAAAGAGGAUUAAUAAGUUUUUAACUCCUAAUAUAUGAUUGCACUACUCGUAUUUAUUUUAUCUCUAGUUAAUCAGGUACAAUAUACCUAGUAAAUUGGUAAUUUACUCGGGUAUGCUCACAAGUACAGGUCGCCAAGCCCUCCUCAGUAGCCGUUGCCGGAAUGUCGCCGAUAACGGCCGAAGCGAACGUAAACCUAUUCUCCGAACAGAUGAUCCCGCACUAAAUCCGCCGCCGGCACCAGAGGCUGCCGGCNNNNNNNNNNNNNNNNNNNNNNNNNNNNNNNNNNNNNNNNNNNNNNNNNNNNNNNNNNNNNNNNNNNNNNNNNNNNNNNNNNNNNNNNNNNNNNNNNNNNNNNNNNNNNNNNNNNNNNNNNNNNNNNNNNNNNNNNNNNNNNNNNNNNNNNNNNNNNNNNNNNNNNNNNNNNNNNNNNNNNNNNNNNNNNNNNNNNNNNNNNNNNNNNNNNNNNNNNNNNNNNNNNNNNNNNNNNNNNNNNNNNNNNNNNNNNNNNNNNNNNNNNNNNNNNNNNNNNNNNNNNNNNNNNNNNNNNNNNNNNNNNNNNNNNNNNNNNNNNNNNNNNNNNNNNNNNNNNNNNNNNNNNNNNNNNNNNNNNNNNNNNNNNNNNNNNNNNNNNNNNNNNNNNNNNNNNNNNNNNNNNNNNNNNNNNNNNNNNNCCCCAAACCCCCCCGCCGGCCCCGGGGGCUGCCGGCGAGAGUCCUUGUCUCGUAUUUUCAGCAAACGACGGAGGCGACGAAACAAACAAGUCCUUCAGCUUAUGACUGACCACAAGUUCCUUCCCCUUUUCCGUCGAAUCGCGUUCUCCAACGAACCGAUCCGGCGAACAGACUUCCCGUCGCGGCAGCCUACGACCACUUCCGCCGCCGCCGAUACUACGGCUGAGGAGCAUACGGAGAGUCUUCCGUCGGCGGAGGUGAAUAACUGGGCUUGUUGUUGGGCUUCGCGUUGGACUUCCUGCUACUGCACAUUGAGUUGCGAGAAGCUUGAAUUUCUGUAAAGUAGCCAUUUUCGUUGCGAUCUGAAGUAAGUAUUUCUACAAAUUAAACAGUACUAGUAAUUUUUUUUGGUUAGCAAAAAUGGGAGUGAAGAGAGGGGGAAUUGGGAAGGGAAUUCAGAGGAUUUAGUAAGGCCGAAGAAUAUGGACCGUCUGUUUUGGGUCUUUUAAGGCUUUUCUUUAUCCUCCCCACUUAUAAGCCUGCCGCGGUAUUAUACUGAAACUGAAACGUGGCCUCUUUUCCCAAGUUAGGAAUCACUCUUCAUUUGUGGGUCCAGUUUUUCUUCCUUUUUACCAUACUGUAUUAAAACUUUUUUAGUUUUGAAUUUAACCUUUAUGUAUACAUAUUGUUAACCUAAAGUAAUUUUUACACAAAUCUUAUAGUGUUAAAAGAGGUAAUUACAUUUCAUUCAUAUUUUUUUUUCUAAAUUAUAAAAAUUCUUAAAUUUGGUAGAAUUCGGAUACAUCCAAAAAUGUUCUGAUAUAUCGCAUCCCAAUUUCAGAUACAUUGCGUACGUCCUGAUAGAUCACCUAUAGUGAUAUAUCCGGCCGAUACAUCGCAUAAAGUGAUAUAUUACGUUUCGAUACAUCACAUAUAGUGAUGUAUUACGUCUCGAUACAUCGCGUAUAGUGAAGUAUUCAACUGAUAUAUCGCGUAAAGUGAUGUAAUCGAGAAUAUGAGAGAGUAGGAAUUCUUAUAAUCCUUUCAAAUGGUAGAGAACUUUAGAGAAUAUGAUAAAAUAAGUUAUGUAUUUAGAUAAUUUUUUCUAUUGUUAAUACAUAUCGUUAAUGUAGAAUGAGUUAUUGUAAGAAGUUUUAAAACUAUAUUGUAUAUGAAUUUUGUUUAUAUUAAGAAUAAAUGGCCACUUGUAUAUUCCCUAAGUUUCAAUUCCAUGUUCUAUGUAUACAUAUGGGUUGAACUUGUUCGUGCAUAUUUAUCCUAGUUUGGGACCAUUAUAAUUCCUAUGUGCGAUAUGUGUAUACAUUGACUGGACCCGUUCAUUCUUCCUUAUCAAAGAUAGAUGAAAGGACCACUCUCCAUUCUUUAAUUCCAAAGAUGCGUUAAUUAGUUAUCAUUGAAAAAUGAAAAAAGUUGUCAAUUAGUAGUUAAUGAAAGUUGGGGUUGAGUUAGGUUCCAAAUUCAUAUUUUACAUGGUAUCAGAUGAGGACUCAUCUCACCCUAUAUAUGUUAGACCUGAAAAAAUAUCACAUACGAGUUUAAUUAUGUAAAAGUGAAUUUUGAAUUUCAAACGUAAUUGUUUUUUACAUUUUAUUUAUUGGGAUAGAUGAUUCAACCAUGUUAUUGUGCCUUUGAGAUCAAGAUUUAAGAGGAAGCAAGAAGAGUAAAGUUUGGAUUUUGAAUAUUUAAAAGUUAAUGUAUAUAAUUGCAUGCGUAUGUGGAGUAGUUGUCCAUCAACGGAAGAAAAUAGGAUGAUGACCAUCUCAUUAUUCGGCGUUAACGCUAUUGUCACCAGUAUCGUAACUUACAUUAUCACAUUUGUCGUUUCCCCACUAAUUUCUUAUCAUUUCUCAUGUUUGUUGUGUUUGUGUUAACAUAAGUGAUUUGUUUUGCCUUUGAAAUGUAUCCACGUGUAGCAUUUAAUAUCACUUCUUGUUUAAGGCAAUAUUUGAAAAAGUAAAAUAAAAAAUUGUCGACUUUACCAUACUUUUAAUAUUGAAUUUUCUCAAUUUGAACUACAACGUACGUUUAAAUAUCUUUUUGUUAUUAGCUUAGUUUAUGGAUAUAAGUAUCUCAAAUAACCCCAUAGGCGUUAACAUUUUUAUGAAAAGACUGAGCAACCAAAUUAGUGUAGAUUGCUUAUUUCAAGUGUUUUUAGGUUAAAAUAUCUUUUAAACAAUUUAAAGUAUUUGAAUAAAAUUAAAAAUUGCUUAUACUUAAUUUAAAGUCAAAAUAACAAAAAUAAGUCAAAAGUCAAUCCAGACAGGAAUUUCUAGGGAGUAAAUUAGAGUAAGGCGAUUUAUUAUUACUAGAGGAAUGUCAUAUUUGCAUUAAUUGUAUGUCAGGUAGAAGCUAAAGAAAGUAGGUGGUAAUCGGAAAGCAAGUCAAGGCAGACGGCAGUAGACAUUCUCUUUGUGAGGGGUUAAAAUUGCUUCCAUUUUCUUUUGUUAGUUUUCCUCGACUUGGAAAAAGUUGAAACAUUCAAUUCUAUGAUCAGCAAGUAAAAGCCAACAGGUAUUGAGCUCACCUACUUUGCAGGAUCACAAGGAAAUUUCCACAAUUACUACUGUCUACUGAUGAAUGACAUUCUAGGAUUAACUGCUUCCAAAUCGAGAUUUGAAAGUCCAUCAACUUUCUCAAAAUUCUCCUCUGAAAUGACAUAAACUAACUAAGCAAACUAUUGUGGCCGGCGAGGAAGGGGGCCAAGAAGUCCUAGAAUUUAGAAACAAUCUCUUUCAGCAAUAAAUGCAAAGUAAAGUUGUAAACGAUAGAUCAAUCAAUGUGGUCCUGCAGGUGUAUUCUCAAAUUGAAAUUUAUGAGUUUUUAUAAUGAUCUCAUGUUAAUAUAAGUGGUUACUGAGUUUUCAAUUAAAUAUUUAUAUAUAUAUUUAGUGAAUUUUUUUUGAGGAAAAACUAAUGAAUUCAAGUGAACGACUAUAAUAUAUGCUAGCUCUGCUCUCUAGAGCAAUAGGUAGGGUGUUCCCACGAAUUGGAGUUCUGUUCCUUUUUUCUCUUUACAAUUUAAUAUCAGAGCAUGUUCCUUAGGCAAAACCUAGCACUCCAAGCUACGAAUAGGCUUAGAAUAUGUUCUGCUGCAGUGCAUUAUUGUUGUUACAUAUGAUUUUCAUGUCCUCAACAUAAAUGAACUUUAAGGUAACAGAAGGACCAUAAGGUCGGUAAAGAAACAAAACCUGAUGUACAAAGAGCAAAAGAUGCAUAUGUAUACUAGAAUGUUGGCAGCCCUAUUCACUAUUUAUAUACAUUGCCUUACGCGAAAAGCAGUUUUAGAUAAUCUCCCACAGAAAAUAUUGACGAUAACAAGAUAACUAUAUGUAAGCAAAAAUAAGAAAUUAAUUAUCUAUGGAAGACGCGAGAUACUAGCCCAAACAUGACACUGAUCACAAGUGCCAAAAUAGUAGUUGCUUCCACACCUAGCAUUGAAUUCAACCAACCUGAUAAAGAUAUUUCAUCCACUAGAAUGUGGUGUGGAGCUGUCAACUCAUUUGUCAGCGGCAACUGAAUCUGGAGAAGAAAAGGGGCCCUCCUUUAGGAGCCCAACAUCAUCUACCACAAUAUCCAGUACCUCAGCAUUGUGUGCUUUCGACUCUCCAUUCUGGAUGCCUCUCAAUGUCUCCAGCACUUCUUGCAUUGAAGGUCUCAGAUCUCUCUCUUGUUGCAGACAUCGGAAAGCUAACUCAGCGACUAAUGUAGUCAUCCUCCUCACGGAGCUGUUUGUUGAGAAUCCAAGACUUGGAUCAACUAACUCAUGUAUUGAAUGGCCUUGGAUCUUGUUGACAGCCAUAUUAGACAAAUUAAUAUCAUGGCGGUGCCUGUUGGUAUCCACAGCUUCUAAUGAUGAGAUCAGCUCUACCAAGACCACCCCAAAACUAUAGACAUCACUCUUUUCAGUGAGCUGGUAACAUUGGUAGUAUUCAGGAUCAACGUAGCCUGGUGUACCCUGUGGAGCAGUAGAGACAUGUGUGACAUUAGUUGGGAACAGUCUUGAUAGCCCAAAAUCAGCAACUUUCACAUGGAAAUCAUUGUCUAACAGAAUGUUGUUGGUUUUGACGUCACGGUGUAUUAUAACUGAGGAGUGGAGAUAAGCCAGAGCUUCAGCAGUCUCAAUGGCUAUGUUCAUUCGGAUAGGCCAAGAGAGUAAGCCAGAUUUGGCCCGUUUACCAUGCAGAUGAUCUGCCACAGUCCCGUUUGGUAUAUACUCAUAAACAAGCAGUAACUCUCGGCUUCGUUUAGAUGUACACCCAUACAACAUCACUAGGUUCUUGUGGCGGAGCUGAGUUAAAAUCUCUACUUCAUUCAUGAACUGCUCCACACGCUUGAAAUUGUUCUCAUACAAGCGCUUGACUGCAACCACGCGACCAUCAUGGAGUUUGCCUGAUAACAAAUUACUUGGAAUUGUUAGGAAGCCCUCUCACAAAAUAAUAAUAAUGCAAGAAAGAGAAUACACAUACCAUAGUACACGACACCAAAACCACCAUCCCCAAGUUCUUUAGAUGGAUCAAAAUUAUUCGUGGCUUCUUCAAGUUCAGCAAAACUGAAGACAUGAGCCCCAAAGUAGGAGCUUCCCCUCCCGUAAUCAGCUUCAGAUUUGGAAGAGGGAUAAGAGGGAAUGCUUCUGGUGAAAGUGGUUGAAGAAGGAGUAGAAGAGGAACUCAGGCCGUUGCUUGAACUUAAAAUUGGAAGAUCCUUCCUUUCGGUUUGGGCAAGUGAAGCCUGUGAUGCAAUCCGCUUUCUCUUUUGUCUGCAGAAGAAGACUAGCCACCCAACACCAAUGCUGGCAAGUACAGCACCUCCUACACUAAUGCCUGCAAUCGAAAGAAGAAAGUUUACAAUCUUCUCAAGGCAUUGACCGUGUCUAUUGAGUUGUACCAGUAUAAUGUUAGAACAAAGACAAUACCUACUGCAAGUGGCAUCUGAUUUUUCUUUCGGUUAUCUGCAAAACAGUCAUAAUGUCGUCAAUUAAGUGGUAACUACAAUUGAUGCUCAGGUAAACAUAAGGUAUAUCCGGCUGGAAUUAGGAGAAACAAACAAAACUCAUGUGGCGAAAUGGGUGUAUUCGCUAAUAAUAGAUCUGAGAAGUAUAAACUAUAAGAAAGAAGCAUACUGUAACAAGAAUUCCUAGGGAUACCUGAAGAGAACAUACCAUGGAAAUCUAAAAACUAACAUGAAGAUUCUAGUAAAUCAUAUUGGAUUACGCUUCGUUUCAAGUUCACUUUUGUGUUAGCAAGUCGCAUAGUGUUUUUUAGGUAUCCCUUAAUCAAAGACCUAUAUAAUAGGUGCUAUAAGAUAACAACUACUCAUACAGUCAUAACAAAUAUAAAUGCAAAAGCAUGAAAUUAUAAUUGGAAACAACCUCUCUAUCUUCACAAGGUAGGGCGAAGACUGCGCACACACCACCCUUCCUAGACCACACUUGUAAGAUUACACGGGAUACACUACACAUAUACCAAUCAACCGCAAUGUAAUCAUGUUGGAGUAGAACAAACAAUGUCAUAGACCAUGAACUCAGGAUUCAUCAACUAGAACAAUCGACACCUAUAUGUACCGAUUCUCUAACUGGGUUACUGUUAAGCUAAAUCCAUUCAGUCCUGAAUUUCAAACUAUAGAUUUCUAUGUUUAAUAAUAAGAACUCCUGAUUAGUAGUAAAAUUAAAGGAUAAAGUUCUCAGUUGUCAGUACCUUGUGAGGAACUUUCAUGAGAAUGUUCUCGAAGAAAUGUACAAGGCAUUUCUCCACAAAUACAAAUUAGCUGAGACAACCCCACAAUAAAUCCGCAAUUCACACCCAGACUCUUGCACUCAGAACAGCGCCUAUCAUAAGGGGUAUCAUAUUUCACACUAAACCCCUGCAUCAAUGCCUCCCCAAGAGUAAUCUCAUUGCUAUAUAGCAUUUUACCCACUGUUCUAAACAUCGGAACAGUGACCAUAGUUGUACAAGUUAUGACAUUCAGAAAAGGGUCACUUGGAAUUGGACCUAGUAAGUAAAAUGCGCCGGUGAAAUUCAAACCAUCUACACUACAGUUGAACAAAUUCUGAGGCGUGAUAACCAAUGCAGAGACAUCGCAGCCGUAGCUCAACGAAAGUUCUUCGUCUUCGUUACGGUCAAUGUUGAAAAGAGAAGAAUUAAAAGUAGUGUUGAUGAAUUGCGAAGGGCAGGAAUUUUUCCAGAGGUCGAUUCUCGAUACAGUCAUGGUCGUUGAUGACUGAUUAAUAGAAAGAACACGGUAAGUAAGUGAUUGGUGAGUAAACUCGGUGUGUUUGUCGUCAACACAUCGGAGUUUGAAAUCCGGGAGGCCACAGUAGUUAGGGCGAUCGCCGCCGGUGAAUGGGUAGGUGAUGUUACGGAUGGAACCACAGGAGAAAGUGAGAUGACAAUUGGGGAAUAAGACGUUGUCAUCAGAGAAGGAGAAGGAGAAGGAUGUUGUGAGAAUAAAGGUGGCGAAGAAGAGAGUAGUUGUGGUGGUGGCGCCGCGGCGGCCAUUGGUAGUGGUGGAAGGGUAGGAGAGAGUCAUUUGGAAUACGAAAAGAGAAUGAGUGAGUGAGAGUCAUAUCUGGAAUUAUUUGUAGUCUGUAGAUUCAUAUCUGUAUAUUUAUUGUUGACAGGGAAUUUGGAAGAUGGUGAGAAUCUGAGAUUACAUUUGAAAGAGAGAGACAAAAAGGAUUUGACUGAAAGUUGAAUAUUAUUACUGCACGUUGAAUAGGAAAAGAAAGAAGGUUGAUAGACGCCUAACUUAAUAAAUGAAACAUAAAUAUACCUUUUCACUUGGUCUAAUAUACAUUUAUUUCAUUUAAUUUUGAAUAUACACAAAUAUAUAUUUAAAUUUGUACAAAAAUAAAAUAAGUAGACAUACGUGUCACGAAUUAACAUAUAAGAUGUUUAUAUCUAUAUGUUCAAUUCUAUAUAAAUUUAAGUAACUACUUAUUAUAAAUAGUAGGGUAAGUUUAUCAUCCUUUGAAUAUAUUAAAUGAUAAAAAUAUAAUAGAGAAAUAACUAUAAUUAAUGAUAAACGAUAAAUUAUGAACUAACUGUAAAAUUAUCAAUUGAUUUCAUAAAGUGGAUAAGUAAUGUUAGACAUUCCAAAAUAGUAUAACGGACAAUAUCCAAAAAUAGAAGAGUGAACAACAAUUUGUAUAAAUCCAAAAUUGAAGGACAUAAAUAUGAAGUCAAGUUAAAAUGAAUAUUUAUUUAUUAUGCCAAAAAAUUGAAUGUUAAGGAUCUAUAUAAUUUAUAAACCAAGACCAAAAGAGUAAUUACUCCCUCUGUUUCAUUUUACUUGGUCUUUAUAUUUUUAUUUAUUCAUUUUAAUAAAUUAUUUUUUUUAAUUAUAUUUUGCCCAUAUUACUAUCUUUAAUAUUAAAUAACUACAUAAACUAGCAAUAAUUAAAGUUAAGGUUUCAAUAUAUUAUUAAUAAAAAUUAAUUCAAUAAAAAAUAUUCUUAACCAAAACUGUCUUAAUAUUAUGUCAAGUAGAUAUGAAUUAAAGUAAAAUGAAAUCGGGGGAGUAGCACCUAACUUGGUGUGGUCAAACCUCAAUAAAAUUGAAUCAUAAAAGGUUUAGUGUGAAUUCCACUAGAAACAAGAAAAAAAAAUACCAACUGUAAUUUUUUAUAUAUGUUUAAUGCAUUGAUCAAUGAAUAGAAUUAUCUGAAAUCAAAUUGUGUUUUUUAAAAGAGGCAGGUAGAGCGUCUAUAUAUUAUAUAAUAAUAUCACAGUAAAAAAGUCGUUUCAGUUUCCCUCGUUUUAUUCAAGCGCCAACCAAGUUUGAAUUAUAACACAGAACUAACUUAAAAGUACAAGAACUACAAAUAAAGAACUGUAUCCUUGUUUACUUUGUCAAUAAAAAGGUUCAAUGAAAUAUAUGUAUUUUUUUCUGGUUAGUUAGAGAAUUAUUGUACUUUUCCUAUUAUUUAUAAUAUUUUUUAAUCCGAGGCUUAUUCUACUCGGAUUAAGAAUAGUAGUUUCUUGUGUUUUGACAAUGCCAAAUGUUGAAUUGCCGACGAGAAGUAAACAAUACAACAAUGGCAGAAACACAGACACAGUACUAAGUCUAAAAUUAGGUCCCGAGUUUUUUAUUUUGUUGUAGCAAUAACAUAUCUUAUUUUUCAAGAUUUCAAUUUCACAUUUUAAGGAAGUUCGUAUACGAAUAUUAUUUGCAUAUAAUAUAAACGAUUAUUUACGCUGAUAUAUAAAAAAAAAAAAAAGGAGCUAUACUAACACGCUCAAGAAUUGGAGCUGGACCAACGUAGAUAGAGGGCUAGAGGUUGUAGUAUUCAGAGUUUCAUAUGGAAUUUGGACAAAAUUAAACACGUACAAAAUUUUAUAGAGAGUUAAAUUCUAGGUAAGCAAUGCAAAAGAAGUACUUCCGUUGGUCCAUAUUAUACGAUAUUUUUUAGUUAGUCCAAAAAUAAAUAUUUUUUCAAGAUAAUUAACAAGGUAUUAAUUGGGGUUUUUCCUUUAAAGUUAUCCUGAUUUUUUCACAUAAGCAAGAAUUCAUAUAAAAUUGAUACUAUACUGAUUGCGAAAGAAUCUUUACUAAGUUAGCGUAUGUAAUUCAAAUCUCUUGGGAAAGGACUGGAAUGAUGGUUUGGAUCGGACAUGUAUUUAUCUGGAAACGAAGGGACGAAGUAAAUUAUGAGUAAUAGUAGAGAGAAGAUUACCGCCGGCUUGGUUUUGUCCGUCGUAGCAGUCGUUUGAAUGAGUACCAUUUACACAAUGGCAAGCAAAGUCUCCAGAAUCUGGAUUGGAUCCACAUCUUCCACCUGACGUGCGGCAUUGUUGGCACUUAGAGUCAAUACCUGCCGUCCAAUUAACUGAAAAACCGCCAGCAAUGGCUCUUGUCAGAGCAUCCACGGAAGCUGUAGGACUGGCUAAUGCCACAGCACUCGUUUGAUUGACCCUAGCUAUUAUUUCUUCCUCGCAUGUUACCAGACUAAGGUCGAAGGGAACGUUGAUCAGCGUGUAUAUACCAAACAUGUUGCUAUCGCAAUUGAACCUAUUUGGAGGCGAAGGUGGUAAUUGCAAACCAGGGCGGACGGUGCAGUGGAAAUACAGAGUAAUAUUCAGGUCACUAGAAACAUAGCUGAAAGUGUUUAAAUCAAAGGAGGCAUUCUUAGGAUUAUCCAAACAAAUACUACUCAGUAAAUCAUCCCGAGCCAGGGUUACAAUUCGAUUAGGAGCGUUGAUAUUUAUCACUUCGUAGCUUGUUGAUUC
rnacentral:lncRNA from 1 species